rnacentral:rRNA from 1 species
GGCGAACGCUGGCGGCGUGCUUAACACAUGCAAGUCGAACGGUGAAGCGCCUUCCUUUUUGGUGGGUGUGGAUGAGUGGCGAACGGGUGAGUAACACGUGAGUAACCUGCCCUCUUCUUCUGGAUAACCGCAUGAAAGUGUGGCUAAUACGGGAUAUUCUGGGUCUGUCGCAUGAUGGGUCUGGGAAAGAUAUUGUUUCGGUGGGGGAUGGGCUCGCGGCCUAUCAGCUUGUUGGUGGGGUGAUGGCCUACCAAGGCGGUGACGGGUAGCCGGCCUGAGAGGGUGGACGGUCACACUGGGACUGAGACACGGCGCAGACUCCGACGGGAGGCAGCAGUGGGUAAUAUUGCACAAUGGGCGCAAGCCUGAUGCAGCGACGCCGCGUGGGGGAUGGAGGCCUGCGGGUUGUGAACCUCUUUCGCCAGUGAAGCAGGCCUGCCUCGUUUGUGGGUGGGUUGACGGUAGCUGGAUAAGAAGCGCCGGCUAACUACGUG